CCUACGGGAGGCAGCAGUGGGGGAUAUUGCACAAUGGGGGAAACCCUGAUGCAGCGACGCCGCGUGGGCGAAGAAGUAUUUCGGUAUGUAAAGCACUAUCAGCAGGGAAGAAGAAAUGACGGUACCUGAGUAAGACGCACCGGCUAAAUACGUGCCAGCAGACGCGGUAAUACGUAUGGUGCAAGCGUUAUCCGGAUUUACUGGGUGUAAAGGGUGCGCAGGCGGCGUGGCAAGCCUGAUGUGAAAGCCCGAGGCCCAACCGCGGGACUGCAUUGGGAACUACCGGGAUAGAGUGUCGGAGAGGUAGGUUGAAUUCCUAGUGUAGCGGUGAAAUGCGUAGAUAUUAGGAGGAACACCAGUGGCGAAGGCGGCCUACUGGACGGUGACUGACGCUGAGGCUCGAAAGCGUGGGGAGCAAACAGGAUUAGAUACCCGUGUAGUC
rnacentral:rRNA from 1 species